rnacentral:rRNA from 1 species
CCUACGGGUGGCAGCAGGGAGGAAGAUUGGGCAAUGGGCGGAAGCCUGAACCAGCCAAGUCGCGGGAGGGAUGAAGGUUCUAUGGAUUGUAAACCUCUUUUAUAAGGGAAUAAAGUGCGGGACGUGUCCCGUUUUGCAUGUACCCUAUGAAUAAGGAUCGGCUAACUCCGGGCCAGCAGCCGCGGUAAUACGGAGGGUCCGAGCGUUAUCCGGAUUUAUUGGGUUUAAAGGGUGCGUAGGCGGCCUUUUAAGUCAGCGGUGAAAGUCCGUGGCUCAACCAUAGAAUUGCCGUUGAAACUGGGAGGCUUGAGUAUGUUUGAGGCAGGCGGAAUGCGUGGUGUAGCGGUGAAAUGCUUAGAUAUCACGCAGAACCCCGAUUGCGAAGGCAGCCUGCC